AACGCAUAUUGCACUCUCUGGUAUUCCGGGGAGUAUGUCUGUUUCAGCAUCAUAAGUACCAUCAAACUUUUAAGUUUGGACUUGGGCCCAAGUGCGGGAUUGUUAUUCCGUGCUGGCCUUAAAUGGAAGUGCGGCGCUUACACUGAUCGGUUCGAGCUAUUUUCUUGAAAUUUCUCGGGCCCCCGCCAAAAAGAAGCGUUAUAGUUGGCCCUUUGGUCAUCUCUCGCUGAAUUUUUUGGUGGUGGGUGCUUGCUGUUCGUAUUUUAUUACUUUUUUUCACACCUUGAUCUGAAAUCAGGCAGGAUUACCCGCUGAACUUAA
rnacentral:misc_RNA from 1 species